rnacentral:hammerhead_ribozyme from 1 species
AUUCGGAUGAUGAAUCCCAAAUAGGACGAAAUGCUCAUCCUAGAU